rnacentral:rRNA from 1 species
UACGGGGGGGGCAAGCGUUGUUCGGAAUUACUGGGCGUAAAGGGCUCGUAGGCGGCCCACUAAGUCGGAUGUGAAAUCCCCAGGCUUAACCUGGGAACUGCAUCCGAUACUGGAUGGCUUGAAUCCGGGAGAGGGAUGCAGAAUUCCAGGUGUAGCGGUGAAAUGCGUAGAUAUCUGGAGGAAUACCGGUGGCGAAGGCGGCAUCCUGGACCGGCAUUGACGCUGAGUGAGCGAAAGCCAGGGGAGCAAACGGG